AGCUUUGCGCAGUGGCAGUAUCGUAGCCAAUGAGGUUUAUCCGAGGCGCGAUUAUUGCUAAUAGAAAUACGGUGAAGAACACCUUCAUUAUACAUGGUUCUCCCGUGCUUAGGAGAAAAGAAACAAGCCAAUUAAUUCUGGUAAGGGA